rnacentral:rRNA from 1 species
GACGAACGCUGGCGGCGUGCUUAACACAUGCAAGUCGAACGGAAAGGCCCCUUUGGUGGUACUCGAGUGGCUAACGGGUGAGUAACACGUGCGUAACCUGCCCUCCCCUUCGUGAUAACUUCAGUAAACUGGGGCUAAUACCUGCUAGGAAUCCUUGCUUCCUGGUUGGUGUUGGAAAGCUUCUGCGGUUUGGGAUGGACUCGCGGGUUAUCAGCUUGUUUGUUGGGUAGUGGGUUACCAAGGCUUUCACGGGUAGCCGGCCUGGGUGGGCGACCGGCCACAAUGGGAAUGAGGUAAGGCCCAGAAUCCUAAGGGGAGCAGGAGGGGGGAAUAAUGCACAAUGGGGGGAAGGCUGAUGGAGGAACGCCGGGGGGGGGAUGAAGGGCUUCGGGGUGUAAACCGGUUUCAGCAGGGGCGAAGGUUGUGGUGACGGUACCGGCAGAAGAAGCACCGGCUAACUACGUG